GACGAACGCUGGCGGCGUGCUUAACACAUGCAAGUCGAACGCAGUGGCGAACGGGUGAGUAACGCGUAAUCAACCUGCCCUUCAGAGGGGGACAACAGUUGGAAACGACGGCAAAUACCGCAUACUGAAGGAGGGGAUUGCGUCUGAUUAGCUAGUUGGGGGGGUAACGGCCCACCAAGGCGAUGAUCAGUAGCCGGGCGGAGAGGGUUGACGGGCACAUUGGGACUGAGACACGGCCCAGAGUCCUACGGGAGGCAGCAGUGGGGAAUCUUCCGCAAUGGACGGAAGUCGGACGGAGCAACGCCGCGGGAGUGAUGACGGCCUUCGGGUUGGAAAGCUCUGUUAAUCGGGACGCGGUACCGGAAUAGAAAGCCACGGCUAACUACGUGCCAGCAGCCGCGGUAAUAC
rnacentral:rRNA from 1 species